rnacentral:rRNA from 1 species
GACGUAGGGCGCGAGCGUUGUCCGGAUUUAUUGGGCGUAAAGAGCUCGUAGGCGGCUUGUUGCGUCGUCCGUGAAAACCCGUGGCUCAACUGCGGGCUUGCGGACGAUACGGGCAGGCUGGAGUUCGGUAGGGGAGACUGGAAUUCCUGGUGUAGCGGUGAAAUGCGCAGAUAUCAGGAGGAACACCGGUGGCGAAGGCGGGUCUCUGGGCCGAUACUGACGCUGAGGAGCGAAAGCGUGGGGAGCGAACAGG